UACGUAGGGGACGAGCGUUGUCCGGAAUUACUGGGCGUAAAGCGCGUGUAGGCGGGGGAGCAAGUCUGAUGUGAAAGCCCCGGGCUUAACCCGGGAAGUGCAUUGGAAACUGUUUUUCUUGAGUACUGGAGAGGAAGGGGGAAUUCCCGGUGUAGAGGUGAAAUUCGUAGAGAUCGGGAGGAAUACCAGUGGCGAAGGCGCCCUUCUGGACGGUUACUGACGCUGAGACGCGAAAGCGUGGGGAGCAAACAGG
rnacentral:rRNA from 1 species